rnacentral:lncRNA from 1 species
AAUGUCAGUUGACUCCUCAGCUUUGAACCGGCUGCUGAUCGUCUCUCAGCUCACAGGUGCCGUGAAUCAGUCUCAAGACCCAUGUCAUAAAGAAGCCGGAGCUAAGAAGACUUGAAGUGCUACUGAGUGGUUGUGCGUUCCUGUAAUCCCAGUACUAAGGAGGAGGGGACAGGAGGAUCAGGGGUUCAAGGUCACGUGGGUUACACGAUGAGUCCAAGGCCAGUCUGGGCUGCACAGGCCACUGUCUAAGAACACAAAAUGCAGACAGACAACCAGGGAGCUAAACAAUCUGCUGAACUUACGUAAAACUCCUAGCUUGCUCUCUUUGAGUUUGGUGAUGUCUUCUCAUGACCUUCAUGAGACACAUGUGUCAUUGUAGUUCAUGUUUUAUGAUGUGCUAGCUAACAUGAUUUCUGUGGAGAGAGAAUGAAAUAUGAAGGUGUCCCCAAAAAAACUA